rnacentral:rRNA from 1 species
CGCGUAGGCGGCCUGCUAAGUCGAACGUGAAAUCCCCGGGCUCAACCCGGGAACUGCGUCCGAUACUGGUGGGCUUGAAUCCGGGAGAGGGAUGUGGAAUUCCAGGUGUAGCGGUGAAAUGCGUAGAUAUCUGGAGGAACACCGGUGGCGAAGGCGGCAUCCUGGACCGGUAUUGACGCUGAGGCGCGAAAGCCAGGGGAGCAAACG